GUGGGGAAUUUUGGACAAUGGGCGAAAGCCUGAUCCAGCCAUGCCGCGUGCAGGAUGAAGGCCUUCGGGUUGUAAACUGCUUUUGUACGGAACGAAAAGACUCCUUCUAAUAAAGGGGGUCCAUGACGGUACCGUAAGAAUAAGCACCGGCUAACUACGUCCCAGCAGCCGCGGUAAUACGUAGGGUGCAAGCGUUAAUCGGAAUUACUGGGCGUAAAGCGUGCGCAGGCGGUUAUAUAAGACAGAUGUGAAAUCCCCGGGCUCAACCUGGGAACUGCAUUUGUGACUGUAUAGCUAGAGUACGGUAGAGGGGGAUGGAAUUCCGCGUGUAGCAGUGAAAUGCGUAGAUAUGCGGAGGAACACCGAUGGCGAAGGCAAUCCCCUGGACCUGUACUGACGCUCAUGCACGAAAGCGUGGGGAGUAAACAGGAUUAGAUACCCCAGUAGUCC
rnacentral:rRNA from 1 species